rnacentral:rRNA from 1 species
UACGGAGGAUCCAAGCGUUAUCCGGAAUCAUUGGGUUUAAAGGGUCCGUAGGCGGUUUAGUAAGUCAGUGGUGAAAGCCCAUCGCUCAACGGUGGAACGGCCAUUGAUACUGCUAAACUUGAAUUAUUAGGAAGUAACUAGAAUAUGUAGUGUAGCGGUGAAAUGCUUAGAGAUUACAUGGAAUACCAAUUGCGAAGGCAGGUUACUACUAAUGGAUUGACGCUGAUGGACGAAAGCGUGGGGAGCGAACAGG